CCCCAUAUAGACCCCUUUAACUGUACUGAGAACUUCUAUAACAUUAUAGAACCUUUUAUGCUAAAACUAGUAACAAGAGUCAACCCCUCUCUACAAUGCAACUACAAGCCAGCAAGAACCCACCACUGGCAACUAACAGAUCUAAACAGGAGUAGCAACUAUACCAGAAAACUCUACUUUACUCACUGUUAACCUUACACUAGAGCAUUUCAAGAAAGAUUAAAAGAAAAAGAAGGAACUCGGCAAACUUUAGCCCCGCCUGUUUACCAAAAACAUCGCCUCUUGUCCAUAUAAGAGGUCCAGCCUGCCCAGUGACUCUUGUUCAACGGCCGCGGUAUCCUAACCGUGCGAAGGUAGCGUAAUCACUUGUCUUCUAAAUAAAGACCAGUAUGAAAGGCAUCACGAGAGCUAAACUGUCUCCUUUCCCUAAUCAGUGAACCUAAUCUCCCCGUGAAGAAGCGGGGGUUAUUAUAUAAGACGAGAAGACCCUAUGGAGCUUUAAACAUCACAACACCUGCCUCACACUUUUAUCUACCCAGGUAUACCCUCUCACAGCACGCUGAUUGUAUGUUUUUGGUUGGGGUGACCGCGGAGAAAAACUAAUCCUCCGCAAUGAAAGGGAUCUUCCCUAAACAAUAAGCCACAACUUUAUGUAUCCACAAAUUGACAUUCAUUGACCCAAUACAUUUGAUUAACGAACCAAGUUACCCUAGGGAUAACAGCGCAAUCCACUUCAAGAGCCCCUAUCGACAAGUGGGCUUACGACCUCGAUGUUGGAUCGGGGUAUCCUAGUGGUGUAGCCGCUACUAAAGGUUCGUUUGUUCAACGAUUAAAACCCUACGUGAUCUGA
rnacentral:rRNA from 1 species